CUGAUUGUAUUUGAGCCCUCUCUCUUUCUUGGUUGUCUAUGGAGAGCUUUCUUGUGGAUUGAGGAAGACCUGAAUUUCUGAGAAUGUCCACCUUAGAGCCACUUUUGCUGCCUCCGGUGUCUGAACUCUGGCCCACUGAGUUCUGUUCAGAUCUUCACACUCCACAGACUCUGUUGUGGCUUAGAAUUGUCAGAUCUUUGGCUCCUACCAUCUGAAAUGCACCCUCUGCUUCUCUUUACCUGUCUGGCUC